UCAAAAUGUCAGAUUUAUCAUCAUAAAAUGCAAUGUAGAAAAUAUGUUGUGGAGACAUGAAAUUAAGUUAAAACUACUAAAAAUGCUAUCAUAACACAACCAAAGCAUGGAAACACUUAUCAAAUAUUAAUAUAAAAAUGACAUUAUCAUACCUAUAUCUAUCACAUGUUACUAAAUUAUAUGUAGAAGGGUAAAUACAAUUUUUUGGACCCUGUGUUUUAUAAAAGUUACCGAUCGGACCCUCUAUUUUGUUAAAUGACAAUUUAAACCCUGUAUUUUAUAAAAUAGAACAAAAUAAUACUGAGUCCAAUUUUGGUCAAAUUUUUUCUUAAUAUGACCAAAAUACCCCUGAGUUUUAUUAAUUGAUGAAUUAAUUUCAUAAUUCAAAAUAUAUUUUAAAAUAAAAAAUUAAUUAAAUUAAUUAAAAAAUAAAAAACAUAAACUUAAAAAACAAAAAUCAAAAUUAAAAUCCUACACUUAAAAACCAAAAAUCAAAAUCAAACUCUUAAAUCUUAAAACUAAAAAAUAAAUUAAGAAACCUAAAAUCCCUAACAAUUACAACCAUUUUUUUACUGUUCUUCUUCCCCACACUAUUUUUCUUAUUCUUGUUCUCAGAUUUGGUCGGAGCUCUAAGAUGGAAAUCUGGAGAUCUCGAGUUGGUGGCGGAGAUGCAUGAUGGCGGCCUGGCUCCCUCGACGGCAACAUAUAUGGUCACGCGAAGUCGCUUGGCUCCCUCGAUAACGACAGAUCUAGUCACGCGAGACCUUGGGUGCCAGUCUAGAGUUGGUGGCGAAGAUGUACGACGAUGACUUCGCUCCCUCAACAGCGACAAAUCUGGUCACAUGAAGUCGCUUGGCUCCCUCAACAGCAGCAGAUCUGGUCAUGCGAGACCUUGGGUGUCAAUGGCGUAAGCUUGGUGUUGGCGACCACUGCAGAGGCUCUAAGAUGCGACAUGGUUGAAGGAGCAAGGGUUGAGCAAAGUUGGAGGAGUAGGGGCUCGGGCAGCUGAGUUUCAAUUGUUCAAUCUAUGAAAGUUUUACAUUAUUUUAGUAUAUUAUUGGAUUAUGGGUGUGCUUUUGGGAGAGAUGUUUGGGUGUUGAAUGAUUUUGGCAUAAUUUUAGAUUUUGAUUUUGAUUUUUGAA